AUUGAACGCUGGCGGCAGGCCUAACACAUGCAAGUCGAGCGAGCGGCGGACGGGUGAGUAAUGUAUGGGGACUGCCCGAUAGAGGGGGAUAACUACUGGAAACGGUGGCUAAUACCGCAUACUAUCGGAUAACCCAUAUGGGAUUAGCUAGUAGGUGGGGUAAAGGCUCACCUAGGCGACGAUCUCUAGCUGGUCGGAGAGGAUGAUCGCACAAACUGGGACGUAGCUACGGCCCAGACUCCUACGGAGGCAGCAGUGGGGAAUAUUGCACAUGGGGCGCAGGCCUGAUGCAGCCAUGCCGCGUGUAUGAAGAAGGCCUUAGGGUUGUAAAGUACUUUCAGCGGGGAGGCGUUACCCGCAGAAGAAGCACCGGCUAACUCCGUGCCAGCAGCCGCGGUAAUUC
rnacentral:rRNA from 1 species